rnacentral:rRNA from 1 species
GACGAACGCUGGCGGCGUGCUUAACACAUGCAAGUCGAACGGAAAGGCCCUGCUUUUGUGGGGUGCUCGAGUGGCGAACGGGUGAGUAACACGUGAGUAACCUGCCCUUGACUUUGGGAUAACUUCAGGAAACUGGGGCUAAUACCGGAUAGGAGCUCCUGCUGCAUGGUGGGGGUUGGAAAGUUUCGGCGGUUGGGGAUGGACUCGCGGCUUAUCAGCUUGUUGGUGGGGUAGUGGCUUACCAAGGCUUUGACGGGUAGCCGGCCUGAGAGGGUGGCCGGCCACCUUGGGCCUGAGAGACGGCCCAGACGCCUACGGGAGGCAGCAGUGGGGAAUAUUGCACAAUGGGCGGGAGCCUGAUGCAGCGACCCCGCGUGCGGGAUGACGGCCUUCGGGUUGUAAACCGCUUUCGCCUGUGACGAAGCGUGAGUGACGGUAAUGGGUAAAGAAGCACCGGCUAACUACGUG